rnacentral:rRNA from 1 species
UAGUCCACGCCCUAAACGAUGCUAACUGGAUAUUCGCCUUCGGGGUGAGUGUCUGAGGGAAACCAUUAAGUUAGCCACCUGGGGAGUACGUCGGCAACGAUGAAACUCAAAGGAAUUGACGGGGGUCCGCACAAGCGGAGGAGCAUGUGGCUUAAUUCGAUGCAACGCGAAGAACCUUUACCUGGGCUUGACAUAGCGACCCUUCGGGGGUGUUUGUGAAAGCAACUUCGUGCAUACAGGUGCUGCAUGGUUGUCGUCAGCUCGUGCCGUGAGGUGUCGGGUUAAGUCCCAUAACGAGCGCAACCCCUAUCCUUAGUUGCCAGCGGGUGAUGCCGGGGACUCUGAGGAGACUGCCACCGUAAGGUGUGAGGAAGGUGGGGAUGACGUCAAAUCAGCACGGCCCUUAUGUCCAGGGCUACACACGUGUUACAAUGACGGUACAAAGGGCAGCUACCUGGCGACAGGAUGGCUAAUCUCUAAAGCCGUUCUCAGUUCGGAUCGAAGUCUGCAACCCGA